rnacentral:lncRNA from 1 species
AGACACAGGCAGAGGGAGAAGCAGGCCCCAUGCUGGGAGCCCGACGUGGGACUCAAUCCCAGGUCUCCAGGGUCAGGCCCUAGGCUGAAGGUGGCACUAAACCGCUGAGCCACCCGGGCUGCCCUCUUUUGCUUUUUUUAAAUUCCACAUGAGUGAAAUUUGAUGGAGACUUGGGCUGUUUCCAUAAUUGGCUAUUGUAAAUAAUGCUGCUUAUACGCAGGGGUGCGUGUAUCCCUUGGAAUUAGUGUUUUUACAUUUUUUUGAGCAAAUUCAUUUUUUAAAAAAUAUUUUGAGGUAGAGAAUGAGCUAGGUGAGGGGCAGAAGGAGAAGCAAACUCUGCACUUAGCAAGGGGCCCAAUGCGAGACUCGAUCCUGGGACUGAUCAUGACCUGAGCCCAAGGUAGGCAUUUCACUGACUGAGCCACCCAGGUGCCCCUUCCUCCAUUACUUCUUCAAAUACUCUUUGCCCCUUUCUCUCUCCUCUUUCCGGGUCUCCCAUGAUGUUCCUUAUUGGUCCUGGUUAUGAUGUCCUGGAGGCCUAUUAGGCUCUGUUCACUUUUGCACAUUUUUUUUUUUUUCCUAUUUCUCAGCCUCAGUAACCCCCACUGUCUUUUCUUCAGUAUCUGAUUCUUUCCUCUGUCUGCUCAAAUCUGCCUCUGAAGCCCUCUGAACUUCUGAGUUAUUGGACUUCACAGCUCCAGAAGUUUUUUGGUUUCUUUUCAGGUUUUCCACCUCCUUAAUGAUAAUUGUUUUGUUCACACGUUUUCUUGAAUUUCUCCACACCUUUAGCUCUUUAAGUACCUGUAAGGCCAUGGUUUUAAAGCCUUUGUCAGACAUGUGUGCCAUUAAGUCUUUUCAAGAACAGAUCCUUUAUUUUUGGGAUGGCUGGGUGGCUCAGUGGUUGGGUGCCUCCCUUCAGCUCAGUACAUGAUCCUGGAGUCCCGGGAUCAAGUCUCACAUCGGGCUCCCUACAGGGAGCCUGCUUCUCUGGGUCUCUUACGAAUAAAUAAAAUCUUAAAAAAAAAUAAAAUAAAGACUUUGUCAGAUUUAUUCCUAAGAGGGCCCAUGAGUGAGUGGCUCAGUCAGUUAAGUGUCUGCCUUUGGCUCAGGUCACUGUCCCAGGGUCCUGGGAUAGAGCCCCACAUCAGGCUCCCUGCUCAGUGGGGAGCCUGCUGUUGCUUCUGCCUGCUGCUCCCCUUACUGUGCUCCUUCAGUCAAAUAAAAUCUUGAAACAAAACAAAUCUGGCAAAGAUGUACAAAAGAUCUGUAUACGUGGACCUAUAAAAUACUGGCAAAAAAAAAAAAAACAGAUUAUAAUCUAUAGAUUCAAUAAUCGUAGAUUUUCUGUAGAAACUGGCAAGCUAAUUCUGAAAUUCACAUGAAGAUACAAAGGACUGGGCACCUGGGUGGCUUAGUUGGUGAAGCCUCUGCCUUCGGCUGGAGUCAUAAUCCUGGGGUCCUGGGAUAGAGCCUGGCAUCCAGCAGCAUUGGGCUCCCUGCUAAGCUAAGCGGAGAGUCUGCUUCUCCCUCUGCCCCUUCCCCUGUUCAUGUUCUCUCUCAAAUAAAGAAAAUGCAAAGGACCUAGAACAGCCAAAGUAACUUUUAAAGUAUAAAUGGCUAGCUGGCUCAGUAGGUAGAACAUGCAACUCAGGGGUCCUGAGUUCAAACCCCACACAGGGUGAGCCUACUUAAAUGAUUAAAAAAAAAAAAAAAAAUUAUAAAAUUGAAAUCAGGUGUUAACCAAGAAUUAAUAGUAAAUCGUCAAUAAUCAAGACCACAUAGGACAAAUGGAUGUAAAUCAUCUUUGAUUUUUAACAAAGGUACAAAAGCAAUGGAGUGGAGAAAGAACAGCCUUUUCAACUAAUGUUGCUAGACAACUCAGUAUCUGUGUGCAAAGAAAAUGAACUUAAAGUCAUGCCUGGACCCGUACCCAUAGAUACAGUCAAAAUGGAUCACAGGCAUAAACCCAAAACCUUUUUGCAUAAAAAUAAAUUUUAAAUUUCUAGAAAACUUAUCUCUUGGGUUAGGUAAUGAUUUCUUAGAACAACAAAAGCACAAUUCAAAGAAAAACAGGGCAGCCCGGGUGGCGCAGGGGUAAACCGCCGCCUGCAGCCCAGGGUGUGAUUCUGGAGACCUGGGAUUGAGUCCCACGUCAGGCUCUCUGUAUGGUGCCUGCUUGUGUGUCUGCCUCUCUCUGUCUCUAUGAAUAAAAAAAAAAAAAAAAAAAAA